CGCCACGCCCGCUCAAGAAACUUAAAGGAAUUGACGGGGGCCCGCACAAGCGGUGGAGUAUGUGGUUUAAUUCGAUGCAACGCGAAGAACCUUACCUGGUCUUGACAUCCCGGAGACCCUUAGGAAACUAGGGGGUGCUUCCAUCUGGAAGAAUCUGGAGACAGGUGCUGCAUGGCUGUCGUCAGCUCGUGUCGUGAAAUGUUGGGUUAAGUCCCGCAACGAGCGCAACCCUUGCCUUUAGUUGCCAGCAGUUCGGCUGGGCACUCUAAAGGGACUGCCGGUGUUAAACCGGAGGAAGGUGGGGAUGACGUCAAGUCCUCAUGGCCUUUAUGACCAGGGCUACACACGUACUACAAUGGCCGAUACAAAGGGCAGCGACACUGCGAGGUGAAGCCAAUCCCGUAAAAUCGGUCUCAGUCCGGAUUGGAGUCUGCAACUCGACUCCAUGAAGUUGGAAUCGCUAGUAAUCGUGGAUCAGCAUGCCACGGUGAAUACGUUCCCGGGCCUU
rnacentral:rRNA from 1 species